rnacentral:ncRNA from 1 species
AAAUAUUUUAGGUUCUUUAACGAUUAAUAGGGAAAGAGGUUAAAUUCCUCUACAACCCCCGUUACUGUAAUGUGGACGAAACUCAGCGUACCACUGUAGUGUAAACUAUGGGAAGGUGAGGAGUAGAAUGAAACUAAGUCAGGAUACCUGCCUAAAAUAUC